GACGAACGCUGGCGGCGUGCCUAAUACAUGCAAGUCGAACGCAUUUUCUUUCACCGUAGCUUGCUACACCGAAAGAAAAUGAGUGGCGAACGGGUGAGUAGCACGUGGGUAACCUGCCCAUCAGCGGGGGAUAACACUUGGAAACAGGUGCUAAUACCGCAUAAUUCCAUUUACCGCAUGGUAAAUGGAUGAAAGGCGCUUUUGCGUCACUGAUGGAUGGACCCGCGGUGCAUUAGCUAGUUGGUGGGGUAACGGCCUACCAAGGCUGCGAUGCAUAGCCGACCUGAGAGGGUGAUCGGCCACACUGGGACUGAGACACGGCCCAGACUCCUACGGGAGGCAGCAGUAGGGAAUCUUCGGCAAUGGACGCAAGUCUGACCGAGCAACGCCGCGUGAUUGAAGAAGGUUUUCGGAUCGUAAAACUCUGUUGUUAGAGAAGAACAAGGAUGAGAGUGGAAAGUUCAUCCCUUGACGGUAUCUAACCAGAAAGCCACGGCUAACUACGUG
rnacentral:rRNA from 1 species